rnacentral:rRNA from 1 species
UACAGAGGUCCCAAGCGUUGUUCGGAUUCAUUGGGCGUAAAGGGUGCGUAGGCGGCGCGGUAAGUCGGGUGUGAAAUCUCGGAGCUUAACUCCGAAACUGCAUUCGAUACUGCCAUGCUUGAGGACUGGAGAGGAGACUGGAAUUUACGGUGUAGCGGUGAAAUGCGUAGAUAUCGUAAGGAAGACCAGUGGCGAAGGCGGGUCUCUGGACAGUUCCUGACGCUGAGGCACGAAGGCCAGGGGAGCAAACAGG